GAUGAACGCUGGCGGCGUGCCUAAUACAUGCAAGUCGAGCGAACGGACGAGAAGCUUGCUUUUCUGAUGUUAGCGGCGGACGGGUGAGUAACACGUGGAUAACCUACCUAUAAGACUGGGAUAACUUCGGGAAACCGGAGCUAAUACCGGAUAAUAUUUUGAACCGCAUGGUUCAAAAGUGAAAGACGGUCUUGCUGUCACUUAUAGAUGGAUCCGCGCUGCAUUAGCUAGUUGGUAAGGUAACGGCUUACCAAGGCAACGAUGCAUAGCCGACCUGAGAGGGUGAUCGGCCACAACGGAACUGAGACACGGUCCCGACUCCUACGGGAGGCAGCAGGAGGGAAUUUUCCGCAAUGGGCGAAAGCCUGACGGAGCAACGCCGCGUGAGUGAUGAAGGUCUUCGGAUCGUAAAACUCUGUUAUUAGGGAAGAACAUAUGUGUAAGUAACUGUGCACAUCUUGACGGUACCUAAUCAGAAAGCCACGGCUAACUACGUG
rnacentral:rRNA from 1 species